GAUGAACGCUGGCGGCGUGCCUAAUACAUGCAAGUCGAGCGAACGGACGAGAAGCUUGCUUCUCUGAUGUUAGCGGCGGACGGGUGAGUAACACGUGGAUAACCUACCUAUAAGACUGGGAUAACUCCGGGAAACCGGGGCUAAUACCGAAUAAUCAGUUUGUCCGCAUGGACAAACUCUGAAAGACGGUUUCGGCUGUCACUGUAGGAUGGGCCCGCGGCGCAUUAGCUAGUUGGUGGGGUAAUGGCCUACCAAGGCAACGAUGCGUAGCCGACCUGAGAGGGUGAUCGGCCACACUGGGACUGAGACACGGCCCAG
rnacentral:rRNA from 1 species